rnacentral:rRNA from 1 species
UGCCAGCAGCCGCGGUAAGACGGAGGGUGCUAGCGUUAUUCGGAAUGACUGGGCGUAGAGGGCGUGUAGGCGGUUAUAUAAGUUAGACGUGAAAGCCCCGGGCUUAACCUGGGAACAGCGUUUAAUACUGUAUGACUAGAGACCGAGAGAGGAAAGCGGAAUUCCUAGUGUAGAGGUGAAAUUCGUAGAUAUUAGGAGGAACACCAGAGGCGAAGGCGGCUUUCUGGCUCGAUACUGACGCUGAGGUGCGAAAGCGUGGGGAGCAAACAGGAUUAGAUA